rnacentral:misc_RNA from 1 species
GACGAAGGUGGCAACCGUUGUUCGGAAUCACUGGGCAUAAAGAGCACGUAGGCGGGCAUGUAAGUCGGGUGUGAAAUCCCUCGGCCCAACCGAGGAACUGCGCCCGAUACUGCGUGUCUUGAGGGCAGGAGGGGAGCGCGGAAUUCCUGGUGGAGCGGUGAAAUGCGUUGAUAUCAGGAGGAACACCGGCGGCGAAGGCGGCGCUCUGGCCUGUUGCUGACGCUGAGGUGCGAAAGCCAGGGGAGCAAACGGG